UACGGAGGUGGCAAGCGUUGUCCGGAUUUAUUGGGUUUAAAGGGUGCGUAGGCGGCUUAUUAAGUCAGUGGUGAAAUACUCUAGCUCAACUAGAGGGGUGCCAUUGAUACUGAUGAGCUUGAGUACAGAUGAGGUAGGCGGAAUUGACGGUGUAGCGGUGAAAUGCUUAGAUAUCGUCAAGAACACCUAUAGCGAAGGCAGCUUACUAGGCUGUAACUGACGCUGAGGCACGAAAGUGUGGGGAUCAAACAGG
rnacentral:rRNA from 1 species